GCUGCUGGAGCCGGACUCCACCCACGACCUCGACCGAAAGGAGGACUCCUCCCGGACUCCUACAAAGGCCGAACUCCGACUACUGCCGAGCCUCGAUCAACAGAUCCGCGUCCCUUGGCAGAUCGCAAUAACAACCAUGAUCCUGUUCCACUUCCUGUAGCGGAUUUCGUGCGGCUCCAUCACCCCCUGCGGUGGACCCAUUACUCUCUGACAGGCUGUGUCAACGGCCACGAUGCUGCUCCGCUCCCUGCGGCAGGUGCUGCACGAUCCCACUACUCGCUGACAACUAGCGGCAACGGGCGCCGCUCCACUACCUACAACAGGCCCUACGUGGUGGGCUAUGGUGAUGGCCAUGGGUCUACCCCACUAUCUUUCGCAAUCAAUUCCCCUGACCAUGGGCGGCCCACUACCAGGCGGUUACAAACGUCACCAUCAAUCUUUUGCCUCCCCCGCCUAUAAAAGGGAGACCCAGAUACGUUAUUCUUUAAGCUCAUUUUUCUUAUCUCAAAACUCUGAUAAAUUCUCUGUUCGAGCGCUCCAUUCUUGUUGAGGCAGAGAACUGACUUGAGCGUCGGAGGGUCUUGCCGGAGCAACCCCACCUCCGGUUUAGACUUCCCUUGCAGGUCCCGGCGGCAACC
rnacentral:lncRNA from 1 species